rnacentral:rRNA from 1 species
UACGUAGGCAGCAAGCGUUGUUCGGAAUUACUGGGCGUAAAGAGUGUGUAGGUGGUGUCGUAAGUUUGGUGUGAAAUCUCCCGGCUUAACUGGGAGGGUGCGCCGAAGACUGCGAUGCUGGAGUAUGGGAGAGGAAAGCGGAAUUCCUGGUGUAGCGGUGAAAUGCGUAGAUAUCAGGAGGAACACCUGCGGUGUAGACGGCUUUCUGGACCAUUACUGACACUGAGACACGAAAGCGUGGGUAGCGAACAGG